rnacentral:rRNA from 1 species
CCGCCGGCGACCGGCGCACGGGUGAGUAACGCGUAUCCAACCUGCCCUUUACUAUGGGACAGCCCGUCGAAAGGCGGAUUAAUACCGUAUGUUGUCAUGUUGAUGCAUAUUUUCAUGACCAAAGGCUUCGGCCGGUAAAGGAUGGGGAUGCGUCUGAUUAGCUUGCCGGCGGGGUAACGGCCCACCGGGGCGACGAUCAGUAGGGGUUCUGAGAGGAAGGUCCCCCACAUUGGAACUGAGACACGGUCCAAACUCCUACGGAAGGCAGCAG